CGGCGUGCAUAACACAUGCAAGUCGAACGAUGAAAACUAGUUGAUCUCUUCGGAGUGAAACUAGUUGGAUUAGUGGCGAACGGGUGAGUAACGCGUGAGUAACCUGCCUUACACAAGGGGAUAGCCUCUGGAAACGGAGAAUAAUACCCUAUGAUAUUACUGGAUUGCAUAAUCAAGUAAUCAAAGUGUUUUAGCGGUGUAAGAUGGACUUGCGUCUGAUUAGCUAGUUGGUGAGAUAACAGCUCACCAAGGCAACGAUCAGUAGCCGGCUUGAGAGAGUGUACGGCCACAUUGGGACUGAGACACGGCCCAGACUCCUACGGGAGGCAGCAGUGGGGAAUUUUGCACAAUGGGGGCAACCCUGAUGCAGCGACGCCGCGUGAUUUAUGAAGGCCUUCGGGUUGUAAAAAUCUUUUGUAUAGGAAGAAACUGACAGUACUAUACGAAUAAGGUCCGGCUAAUUACGUGCCAGCAGCCGCGGUAAUACGUAAGGACCGAGCGUUGUCCGGAAUCAUUGGGCGUAAAGGGUACGUAGGCGGCUAAUUAAGUUAGAGGUCAAAGGCUAUAGCUCAACUAUAGUAAGCUUCUAAAACUAGUUAGCUUGAGAGAUGGAAGGGAAAGUGGAAUUCCUAGUGUAGCGGUGAAAUGCGCAGAUAUUAGGAGGAAUACCGGUGGCGAAGGCGACUUUCUGGCCAUUA
rnacentral:rRNA from 2 species